AGAAUCAACGCUGGCGGCGUGCCUAACACAUGCAAGUCGAACGAGAAAGUGGAGCAAUCCAUGAGUAAAGUGGCGCACGGGUGAGUAACACGUGACUAACCUACCCUUGAGUGGGGGAUAACCUAGGGAAACCUGGGCUAAUACCGCAUAAUACCUUCGGGUCAAAGGAGCAAUUCGCUUAAGGAGGGGGUCGCGGCCGAUUAGUUAGUUGGCGGGGUAAUGGCCCACCAAGACUGUGAUCGAUAGCUGGUCUGAGAGGAUGAUCAGCCACAUUGGGACUGAGACACGGCCCAAACUCCUACGGGAGGCAGCAGUGGGGAAUAUUGGACAAUGGGCGCAAGCCUGAUCCAGCCAUGCCGCGUGAGUGAUGACGGCCUUAGGGUUGUAAAGCUCUUUCGCUAGGGACGAUAAUGACGGUACCUAGACAAGAAGCCCGGCUAACUUCGUGCCAGCAGCCGC
rnacentral:rRNA from 1 species